rnacentral:rRNA from 3 species
AAAUUGAAGAGUUUGAUCAUGGCUCAGAUUGAACGCUGGCGGCAGGCCUAACACAUGCAAGUCGAACGGUAACAGGAAGCAGCUUGCUGCUUUGCUGACGAGUGGCGGACGGGUGAGUAAUGUCUGGGAAACUGCCUGAUGGAGGGGGAUAACUACUGGAAACGGUGGCUAAUACCGCAUAACGUCGCAAGACCAAAGAGGGGGACCUUCGGGCCUCUUGCCAUCAGAUGUGCCCAGAUGGGAUUAGCUGGUUGGUGAGGUAACGGCUCACCAAGGCGACGAUCCCUAGCUGGUCUGAGAGGAUGACCAGCCACACUGGAACUGAGACACGGUCCAGACUCCUACGGGAGGCAGCAGUGGGGAAUAUUGCACAAUGGGCGCAAGCCUGAUGCAGCCAUGCCGCGUGUAUGAAGAAGGCCUUCGGGUUGUAAAGUACUUUCAGCGGGGAGGAAGGUGUUGCGGUUAAUAACCGCAGCAAUUGACGUUACCCGCAGAAGAAGCACCGGCUAACUCCGUGCCAGCAGCCGCGGUAAUACGGAGGGUGCAAGCGUUAAUCGGAAUUACUGGGCGUAAAGCGCACGCAGGCGGUCUGUCAAGUCGGAUGUGAAAUCCCCGGGCUCAACCUGGGAACUGCAUUCGAAACUGGCAGGCUUGAGUCUUGUAGAGGGGGGUAGAAUUCCAGGUGUAGCGGUGAAAUGCGUAGAGAUCUGGAGGAAUACCGGUGGCGAAGGCGGCCCCCUGGACAAAGACUGACGCUCAGGUGCGAAAGCGUGGGGAGCAAACAGGAUUAGAUACCCUGGUAGUCCACGCCGUAAACGAUGUCUACUUGGAGGUUGUGCCCUUGAGGCGUGGCUUCCGGAGCUAACGCGUUAAGUAGACCGCCUGGGGAGUACGGCCGCAAGGUUAAAACUCAAAUGAAUUGACGGGGGCCCGCACAAGCGGUGGAGCAUGUGGUUUAAUUCGAUGCAACGCGAAGAACCUUACCUGGUCUUGACAUCCACGGAAGUUUUCAGAGAUGAGAAUGUGCCUUCGGGAACCGUGAGACAGGUGCUGCAUGGCUGUCGUCAGCUCGUGUUGUGAAAUGUUGGGUUAAGUCCCGCAACGAGCGCAACCCUUAUCCUUUGUUGCCAGCGGUCCGGCCGGGAACUCAAAGGAGACUGCCAGUGAUAAACUGGAGGAAGGUGGGGAUGACGUCAAGUCAUCAUGGCCCUUACGACCAGGGCUACACACGUGCUACAAUGGCGCAUACAAAGAGAAGCGACCUCGCGAGAGCAAGCGGACCUCAUAAAGUGCGUCGUAGUCCGGAUUGGAGUCUGCAACUCGACUCCAUGAAGUCGGAAUCGCUAGUAAUCGUGGAUCAGAAUGCCACGGUGAAUACGUUCCCGGGCCUUGUACACACCGCCCGUCACACCAUGGGAGUGGGUUGCAAAAGAAGUAGGUAGCUUAACCUUCGGGAGGGCGCUUACCACUUUGUGAUUCAUGACUGGGGUGAAGUCGUAACAAGGUAACCGUAGGGGAACCUGCGGUUGGAUCACCUCCUUACCUUAAAGAAGC